rnacentral:rRNA from 1 species
UACAGAGGUGGCAAGCGUUGUUCGGAAUUACUGGGCGUAAAGGGCGCGUAGGCGGCCCUCUUAGUCGGACGUGAAAUCCCCAGGCUCAACUUGGGAACUGCGUCCGAUACUGGAGGGCUCGAGUGCGGGAGAGGGAUGUGGAAUUCCAGGUGUAGCGGUGAAAUGCGUAGAUAUCUGGAGGAACACCGGUGGCGAAGGCGGCAUCCUGGACCGACACUGACGCUGAGGCGCGAAAGCUAGGGGAGCAAACGGG